UGUAUGUAUACAUUUUUCAUUGAAAGCAUUCAAUUGAUCAAUCCACAAAUAAGGGGAAAUUUAAUAAGUGUCGCUGCAAGAUCUCUUGGUGGACCAUUCUCGAAGGCGUCAGUUAAAUGGAGUUCCAAGAGGGACACAAAAUUAGAGAAUACCCUGGGAUGACUUCUUGCAGGGUCCAACGAUAAUUCGUUAAAAUCUAAAAUAAGUCGUUCGACGUGUUGGACGUGAUGUACAAUGAUUUUACUUGUGUAUCGUUCGGCAGGUGCGAUAACGGCGCCGCGUUAUGAAAUCCUGAUUCAGUACAAUUAACGACAUACUGAUGGUGAUUCUCAUAACAUGUCCUCAUGCAAUAGCAACGA